rnacentral:misc_RNA from 1 species
GGAAAGUGUAGCGUCCUCUUCAGGCUUCAUUUCGAUAAGAAAAUAAGAAGGAUAAAGCCAAAUUCGGGUUGACCCAUAGCCGGAGCAGACGCCGCCGACGAAGCCUCUCGGUCCGAUCUUUAAUCAUCAGGUAAUAAUAAAUGUACAAAGACCUACCUAAUCAACUAAUCUUUAUUGUUUAAUGAUCAAUUAUUCCAGUCAAGAAGCUUCUACUAAUAAAAAAAAAAGUUUAUGCAUAUGCAUGGUCCUGUAUUGAUUUAUCACAGUAAAGAGUUUCUCUGAGAAGAACUGUUCUUGGUUUAAAGAUUUUUCUGGGUUUUUUUUUCCUGCAAUUUUAUGCUCAUUUUUAUGUCUCCACAGUUUUUCUUUACCUUGUUGUGUGGUAGCCUUUUACCAGUCCAGAAACUGCAGGAUGUCGAGCACAAACAUGGAGGAGAAGGUAAAGGAGCAAGAGCUCUGUGAAGAUACUCUUAAAGAUCAUGUUGUUGUCGAUGAUGAUGAUGAU